AAUCAGUUAACAGGCCGUUUGUUUUACAGAGGAGUUGACAGUCCACAAAUAUCGAACAGAGAAACCCUCCAAAUCUCCACCUCCACCUCCUCCCCGACGCAGUUUCCCAUCGUCUCAUGGACUGACCACAGGAAGAACGGGGGAGGUCAUCGUCACAAACAAAAAAGAAUCAACCCUCAAAAAGGCUGACUCUGAUGAAACUGAUGCACCAAGACCACAUGUCAAGCUGCGAAGGACCAUGUCUGAGGCCAAGCCUCCGUCAACACCACCACCGAUUGUAGCAUCAGCUGUUCGCGAUGAUGAGGAUGAAGAGAAUAGGAUCAUGGCUGAAUUGGAGGUUUUUCAGAGAAACUCUGUGCCUUUCACAGGCUCAAACGACCAGGGGAUGGCUGCUUUCCCCACUCCAGAUCCUAGACCUUGCAGGGUUUCCCUACCAAGCAGACGACUAAAG